rnacentral:lncRNA from 1 species
UGUCCAUGAAACAUUAAUCCAGUUAUAGUUGAUUUUCUCUCUUCAGGGGUGACUUUGAAUUCUGAUUGGAGAAAUACUUUUUCCCAGCUGGUUUUCAUUUUAACUUUCUUGUUCCUUGACUUAGAUAAAAACUUCUGCCCUAAAAUGAUUUUCUGUGUUUUAAAAUGUCUUUGUGUUCAGUUUCACACACCAAAGUCCUUCCUGCUGGGCUGAGAAGCUGGCUUUGCUGUCUGUAACUAGUAACACCCAACCUGAUUUCUCAAGAUGGCCCUGGGAGCAGCUCUGCCAGGAGUCACGGCCUCUCCAGGGUGAUGGUGUUGGAGGAUGUCCUGUGGGCGACAGUGCCCCCACCCGAACUUCCAGCCCAUGUGGAAGGUGCUGCCAGGCAGAAAGCAAAAAGCGAACAACAUCCUGUGGAAUGAAUGAAAGAACUGACCGGAUCUUCCCAUGUCCCUUGGCAGCACCUGGUUUGAGCCAUGGUAAGCUCCCUUUGGGUGGGCCAUAA